CGGAGGAGCUAGCGUUGUUCGGAAUUACUGGGCGUAAGAGUACGUAGGCGGUGAUUCAAGUCAGAGGUGAAAGCCUGGAGCUCAACUCCAGAACUGCCUUUGAACUAGAUCGCUAGAAUUAUGGAGAGGUUAGUGGAAUUCCGAGUGUAGAGGUGAAAUUCGUAGAUAUUCGGAAGAACACCAGUGGCGAAGGCGACUAACUGGACAUAUAUUGACGCUGAGGUACGAAAGCGUGGGAGCAAACAGGAUU
rnacentral:rRNA from 1 species